rnacentral:rRNA from 1 species
GAGCGCUUUGGGGUGGGGUGACUGCGUACCUUUUGUAUAAUGGGUCAGCGACUUAUAUUCUGUAGCAAGGUUAACCGAAUAGGGGAGCCGGAGGGAAACCGAGUCUUAACCGGGCGUUAAGUUGCAGGGUAUAGACCCGAAACCCGGUGAUCUAGCCAUGGGCAGGUUGAAGGUUGGGUAACACUAACUGGAGGACCGAACCGACUAAUGUUGAAAAAUUAGCGGAUGACCUGUGGCUGGGGGUGAAAGGCCAAUCAAACCGGGAGAUAGCUGGUUCUCCCCGAAAGCUAUUUAGGUAGCGCCUCGUGAAUUCAUCUCCGGGGGUAGAGCACUGUUUCGGCUAGGGGGCCAUCCCGGCUUACCAACCCGAUGCAAACUGCGAAUACCGGAGAAUGUUAUCACGGGAGACACACGGCGGGUGCUAACGUCCGUCGUGAAGAGGGAAACAACCCAGACCGCCAGCUAAGGUCCCAAAGUCAUGGUUAAGUGGGAAACGAUGUGGGAAGGCCCAGACAGCCAGGAUGUUGGCUUAGAAGCAGCCAUCAUUUAAAGAAAGCGUAAUAGCUCACUGGUCGAGUCGGCCUGCGCGGAAGAUGUAACGGGGCUAAACCAUGCACCGAAGCUGCGGCAGCGACGCUUAUGCGUUGUUGGGUAGGGGAGCGUUCUGUAAGCCUGUGAAGGUGGCCUGUGAGGGUUGCUGGAGGUAUCAGAAGUGCGAAUGCUGACAUAAGUAACGAUAAAGCGGGUGAAAAGCCCGCUCGCCGGAAGACCAAGGGUUCCUGUCCAACGUUAAUCGGGGCAGGGUGAGUCGACCCCUAAGGCGAGGCCGAAAGGCGUAGUCGAUGGGAAACGGGUUAAUAUUCCCGUACUUGGUGUUACUGCGAAGGGGGGACGGAGAAGGCUAUGUUGGCCGGGCGACGGUUGUCCCGGUUUAAGCGUGUAGGUGUGUGUUCCAGGUAAAUCCGGUU